rnacentral:rRNA from 1 species
UACGUAGGGACCAAGCGUUGUUCGGAUUUACUGGGCGUAAAGGGCGCGUAGGCGGCUUGACAAGUCACUUGUGAAAUCUCCGGGCUUAACUCGGAACGGCCAAGUGAAACUGUCAUGCUAGAGUGCAGAAGGGGCAAUCGGAAUUCUUGGUGUAGCGGUGAAAUGCGUAGGAUAUCAAGAGGAACACCUGAGGUGAAGACGGGUUGCUGGGCUGACACUGACGCUGAGGCGCGAAAGCCAGGGGAGGCAAACGGG